rnacentral:rRNA from 1 species
AGUUUGACCUCGGAUCAGGUAGGGAUACCCGCUGAACUUAAGCAUAUCAAUAAGCGGAGGAAAAGAAACCAACAGGGAUUGCCUCAGUAACGGCGAGUGAAGCGGCAACAGCUCAAAUUUGAAAUCUGGCCUCCUUCGGUGGUCCGAGUUGUAAUUUGCAGAGGGUGCUUUGGUGUUGAUAGCGGUCUAAGUUCCUUGGAACAGGACGUCACAGAGGGUGAGAAUCCCGUACGUGGUCGCACGUCUCCACCGUGUAAAGCCCCUUCGACGAGUCGAGUUGUUUGGGAAUGCAGCUCUAAAUGGGAGGUAAAUUUCUCCUAAAGCUAAAUACUGGCCAGAGACCGAUAGCGCACAAGUAGAGUGAUCGAAAGAUGAAAAGCACUUUGGAAAGAGAGUCAAAAAGCACGUGAAAUUGUUGAAAGGGAAGCGCUUGCCGCCAGACUUGCCCGUAGUUGCUCACCCGGACUUUUGCCCGGGGCACUCUUCUGCGGGCAGGCCAGCAUCAGUUUGGGCGACCGGAUAAUGGCCUCUGUCAUGUAUCUUCCUUCGGGAUGACCUUAUAGGGGAGGCGUAAUGCGGCCAGCCUGGACUGAGGUCCGCGCAUCUGCUAGGAUGCUGGCGUAAUGGCUGUAAGCGGCCCGUCUUGAAACACGGACCAAGGAGUCUAACAUCUAUGCGAGUGUUUGGGUGUCAAGCCCGGGCGCGUAAUGAAAGUGAACGGAGGUGGGAACCCCCUUGGGGUGCACCAUCGACCGAUCCUGAUGUUCUCGGAUGGAUUUGAGUAAGAGCAUAGCUGUUGGGACCCGAAAGAUGGUGAACUAUGCUUGAAUAGGGUGAAGCCAGAGGAAACUCUGGUGGAGGCUCGCAGCGGUUCUGACGUGCAAAUCGAUCGUCAAAUUUGGGCAUAGGGGCGAAAGGACUAAUCGAACUAUCUAGUAGCUGGUUCCUGCCGAA